rnacentral:lncRNA from 1 species
UGAAAAACAAGUUUUAAUCACUCCAACCUAAGUAAGGACCUUCUUGCCUUGCCUCUCAGAUCGUUCACAGCUUUGUGGAAGUUACCUGUGGCGUUGAUGUUUAGGCCAAGCAGCUCCACACAGUCCACAGUACCUCGUCUCCUCCAGGACUCCAGUCCACAGUACCUCGUCUCCUCCAGGACUCCAGUCCACAGUACCUCGUCUCCUCCAGGACUCCAGUCCACAGUACCUCGUCUCCUCCAGGACUCCAGUCCACAAUACCUCGUCUCCUCCAGAACUCUAAAAAGGUGAUGAGAACAGCAGUACCCUGAGGUCUCUGUAUUACCCCCCGGUGAGGAGUGACAGGGUGAAGGAGGGCAAGGAGAACACUGACUACAGCAGCAUCACCCUGGUCUUUCAGAGCCAAGAGGGUGGCCUGCAGAACCAAGAGGGUGGCCUGCAGGUAAACAAGACACCACUGAAUCCUCUGGUCUUCUAGAACCAAGAGGGUGGCCUGCAGGUAAACAAGACACCACUGAAUCCUCUGGUCUUCUAGAACCAAGAGGGUGACCUGCAGGUUAACAAGACACCACUGAAUCCUCUGGUCUUCUAGAACCAAGAGGGUGGCCUGCAGGUAAACAAGAC